ACUACAUGAACAUAAUGUGCUUUUCCAUCAAGAAGGAAGAAAGCCACAGGGACGAACUUCCGUUCUCCCAUAGUCCAUGAAGUGUUCAGACUGCUACUUCUUGCCGGAUAUCAUUCACAAGGGAGGUCACAAUCAAGGUUCUCUUGGACAUCCUAUGUUGCAUUUCUUUCGGAUUAGCAGUCAAGGAAUUUAAGAAGGCACCAUGGAAACGAGAAGCAGAUGGGAUGCCUCUCAAAAGAACACUGCAGUGUUUUCCGAGCGGUAACUAGCAAGCAGCACCAUCUUCCCCUCACUUUACCUUUAAGGCAUGGGUGUGCUCCCCCUUCAAGAAAAAGAAGGAAGAGAAUAGUGGUGGCCAGCCAGAAAAGGGAGGAAAAGGUUAUUAUUCCAAGAAGAGGACGGUGAAUAAGGUUUAUUUUCUUAACAUCCACUAAUAAGUUCACCUCGUGAUUUCAGUGGGCCCUGAGGCAAACCCCUGAUUGUUCUGCCCUAGUUACAGCUCCACUUCCUAGUAUCCAACAGCCUAGAUUUUGCUCUGUCACCAACAUCUUUCAGCCCUCCAGACGCACACAACCCCGUAAGUUUAACAACACCAACAUAUUUACUGGAA
rnacentral:lncRNA from 1 species